rnacentral:rRNA from 1 species
CCUACGGGUCGCACCAGUGGGGAAUAUUGCACAAUGGGCGCAAGCCUAAUGCAGCCAUGCCGCGUGUGUGAAGAAGGCCUUCGGGUUGUAAAGCACUUUCAGCGGGGAGGAAGGUGUUGUGGUUAAUAACCGCAGCAAUUGACGUUACCCGCAGAAGAAGCACCGGCUAACUCCGUGCCAGCAGCCGCGGUAAUACGGAGGGUGCAAGCGUUAAUCGGAAUUACUGGGCGUAAAGCGCACGCAGGCGGUUUGUUAAGUCAGAUGUGAAAUCCCCGGGCUUAACCUGGGAACUGCAUUCGAAACUGGCAGGCUAGAGUCUUGUAGAGGGGGGUAGAAUUCCAGGUGUAGCGGUGAAAUGCGUAGAGAUCUGGAGGAAUACCGGUGGCGAAGGCGGCCCCCUGGACGAAGACUGACGCUCAGGUGCGAAAGCGUGGGGAGCAAACAGGAUUAGAUACCCGUGUAGUC